rnacentral:lncRNA from 1 species
CCUCGGCCGGCGCGGACCCCUGGUUGCCCCGGGGUCGAGAGCAGCCGGGGAGAGCUGAGUUCAGAGCCCAGAGUUGGACAUCAGGCCACACGCUGAGAGGGGCCCCAUGCUGCUUAGUGGCCGAUUUGCAGGGAAUCUGGGCACAAUCUUAAUAACACCAGGGCCAAAAAUAACAACGUUCCUGGGAACCGAGCAGCUGGAGCGCACCCCAUGGACGCUGGGCCAUCUCCCCGGGGACUAGUGCCUGACAGAGCUGACAGAGUUCUAGGCCACAUGUGGGCUAGAAGGAACCGCCAUGUCUACCACAGCACAGUCCUUAAGCAGGAGCCUUUUGAAGCACUUGGACUCAAAACAAUGGCUGUUUGUUGUUGUUGUUGUUGUUGUUUGUUUGUUUUGAGGGAGCCAGAAAGCUAAAAAAUGUAAAAGAAGCAGGUCACAUUAGACAUGAUUUCAGACAGCCUCCCCGAAGGACAGAUGAUCUCACUUGGCAACACAUACUGGGCCAGGCUCACUCAUGAGGGGGCAGCGUGGCAUGCACCCCACUCAGGGGCAAGAAUGAAGCUUAAAUAUUAGCUGACUCAGAACAUAGCAAGUGCUCAGUAAUGGCUUCUGGAACGAACCCGUGGUUGUCACCAGCAGGAGUGACGAAAGCUAGAAGCCGUUUCACCAUCCAAGGAAGAGGAGGAACAAUAUUUUUCUCUUUGGAGUUCCCACACUCAGAAGAGAGAACACCAGCAUAUGAACACAGAGUGUCACAUGAUGUAGGAAACAUCCUGUAGGUAGAGAGUAUAAUUCCAAAGCUUAGGAUCCUGCUAGUUCCUUGUGCAGUGCUUCCGGUGGGCAACAUGGUGCCUCCCCAGUCCCUCAGGCUUGAGGCGGGCCAGCACAGCUUCUCUGGGAGCCAGGUCAUUUCAGAAUUUAACCCCAGAACUAGGUCACCCCAGGCAACACAAGGCUCCUCUCCCUUGGAUACAGGAAGCGGAGGAAAAGGCCAGGCAUGCUCAGGGGCAAACCAACACCCAGGUGAAAGGGAGCUGGGCUGGUUUCGGGGAGCAGCCUGGUUUCAGGGAGCCGGACUCACGAUGUGCUUGAGACCCUCAAAUUCACCCCUGGAAGCAGCUGCCCCCGUGACAAGGAACUAAGGACAGGCAUGUCAUGGACUGUGAAUUGGAGUGACAUUUGUCCCUCCCUUCACCAACAGACUGCCCCAAGAGCUUCCCAAGUUAUCUGCCAUAGAAUACCUUGUUUCCCUCGAGUCUCUGAAAGGGGGCCGCAAAAGCUGUCCCCACGCUGGAAAUGCAGGGCCAGGCUUUUAAAGUUUUGCUCCCGGAUUAUGAGAACACCUAGAAAAUUCAGUGCUCCUCUCCACUCCCCCAAACCCCUUCACAAGCCCCCACCCUUUGUUUAACAAACAUAUAUAUAGUGCUUUCCUGGUACCAGAUACUACUUUAAGCACUUGACAAAAUAUUUAGUCAUACAUAAAACCCUUAUAAUUACACUGUAAUUCACUCUCGUCAGAUCCAGUCAUUGUGAAGAAACGGAGGCACGGGGAGAUUAAGAGAGCUACUUAAGAAGACACGGUGCCAGGUUUCUACCCAAGCCAUUUGGAUCUAGGGUCUGGAGGCCAUGUGAGCCAUUUUGCAUUAGAUUAACGCUUUAAUUCAGUUCACAGUUAGACAAUAUACGUUCCCCAUCUAUAUCUAUACCCAUCUGGAAGGCAACAAAAAGAUAAUAAACUGAUAGUGUCAUGUGCCCAUGACCCAGCUAACAAAGAGGCUCUGGGUUCCAAUGCCCCAGUCUUUCAUGGGAUUCCAUCGACCUCAUGCCCUGCUCCCCUCCCCAACAGAGAUGGAAACAUUAUCCUGAAUUUUGUGUUUAUCAUCCCUUGUUUCUCUCUAUAGUUUUUCCACUUAUGGUUGUAUGAUUUUUGUUUGUUUGUUUUUUGAGACGGCAUCUCGCUCUGUCACCAGGCUGGAGUGCAGUGGCGUGAUCUCGGCUCUACCUCCCAGGUUCAAGCCAUCCUCCUGCCUCAUCCUCCCGAGUAGCUGGGACUACAGGCACACGCCACCAUGCCCAGCUAAUUUUUGUAUUUUUAGUAGAGACGGGGUUUCACCUUAUGGUUGUAUCUUUAAACAAUGUCUUGUUUAGUUUUGCCAUGUUUUUGGACUGUGAAUAAGUAGAAUUAUUAUGCUGUGUGAAUUCUUCUGCUACUUGCAUUUUUGCUGCAACGUCAUGUUCCUGAAAUUCAGCCAGGAUUCAUUUAUUCCUUUUCACUGCUGUGUGAUAUCCCAUUGUAGGCAAAUAGUACACAAUAUUUAUUUAUUUUCCAGAUGGGAUCUCAUUCUGUCACCCAGGCUUGUAGUGCAGUGACCCCAUCACGAUUCACUGCAGCCUUGAACUCCUGGGCUCAAGCAAUCCUCCUGCCUCAGCCUCCUGAGUUGCUAAGGCCACAAAUAUUUAUCCAUUUUACUGCUAAUGCAAUUUGAGCUGUUUUCAACUUUUUCCUAUUAAAACAUUAUUGCUAUGAACAUUCUUAUAAAAGCUUCCCAGUGCACGUGUGUGAGAUCUUUCUAGUGUGUAUGCUAGCAGGAGAAUUACUGAGUUUUACCGUACAUGUAUCUUCAAUCUUAUUAGAUAACACUGACUUGUUUUUGAAAUUGGCUCUUCCAAUUUACACUGUCAACAGCAGGGUUAUGUGGUUGCCCUGCAAGUUCAACAACAUUUGGUAUUGUCAGACUUUAAUAUUUUUGUCAAUCUGGUUGGUAUAAAAUGGUAUGGUGUGGUGCUUUUUAUUUGCAUUUCCAUGAUUACUAAUGAGGUUGAGCAUCUUUUCACAUGUUUAUGGGCCAUUUACUUUUCCUCUUCUAUGAAAUUACUAUUCAAGCCCUUUGCCCAUUUUUCUGUUAUGUUGUUUGUCUUUUUCUUAUCGAGGUGGAGGAGUUCUCUGCAGUCUGAAUACGAAUCAUUUUUCAGUUAUGUGCAUUGAAAAUAUCUCCUCCCAGUGUGUAGUUCUUUACACUUUUUAAAAUGGUAUCUUUUAACGAACUAAUAUGGGUUUUAAUGUGUCAAAUAUGUUGAUCAUUUUCUUUAUGGUUUGUGUUUCUUUUGUCUUAAGGAGUCCACUUCUACCCUGAGCUUAUACAAUUUUUUCUGUAUUAUAUUUAUUUUAUAGGGUUU